UGAAGCCUGACCAACCCAUCCACAGUAGCCCAGCACCAGCAAGCAUAAGUAAAACAUUGUUAGGAGGAAACCUCUCCCUAUCACUCUUCAGCCUCGGCCCAACCUAUACCAAUUUAGCAUUAUAUUAGUGUGGCAGGAAAAACACGAACUUGGUUAACUAAAGACAAAAGGAAAAGAAUGGUACCCAAUAAGCUGCAGUGGAACCAGAAAUCCCAGAGGAAAGGUGGAUAACAUAGCCGCCAGAGUAAUCAAUGGCACCCCAACGGUAAAGAAACCCACCGCCCCAAAGACUGAAGGCUCCCACAGUGUAGCAAAACACAAGCCAAAGAGGCACAAAAACCAUCCAUGCCUUGAUGUUCAUGCGCCCAAGCACAGACCCAGCAAGCAAAAUGGUGGUAA